rnacentral:rRNA from 1 species
UGAGUAACCUGCCCUUAACUCUGGGAUAAGCCUGGGAAACUGGGUCUAAUACCGGAUAUGACUCCUCAUCGCAUGGUGGGGGGUUGGAAAGCUUUUCGGCUGGGGAUGGGCCCGCGGCCUAUCAGCUUGUUGGUGGGGUGAUGGCCUACCAAGGCGACGACGGGUAGCCGGCCCGAGAGGGUGUCCGGCCACACUGGGACUGAGACACGGCCCAGACUCCGUACGGGAGCAG